UCCUUAGAUGUUCUGGGCUGCACGCGCGCUACACUGAUGCGCUCAACGAGUUUAUGAACUUGCCCGGAAGGGUUGGUUAAUCUUUUUAAAACGCAUCGUGAUGGGGAUAGAUUAUUGCAAUUAUUAAUCUUCAACGAGGAAUUCCUAGUAAGCGCGAGUCAUCAGCUCGUGCUGAUUACGUCCCUGCCCUUUGUACACACCGCCCGUCGCACCUACCGAUUGAAUGGUCCGGUGAAAUCUCGGGACGGCGGCUUGGUCGCUUGCGUCCGACUGCUGAAACUUGAUUAAACCAUAUCAUUUAGAGGAAGGUGAAGUCGUANCA
rnacentral:rRNA from 1 species